UAUCGCGCCGCACGAUGUGUACGUUCAGCUCGCGCUUUCACCUGAAGCCAGGCGCUCAUCUCGCCGCUUGCCCACUCAUUGCGCACCCACUAGAUGGAAGCUCAUCCCUUAUUGUGGCCCUUUGACCACGAUUAUGGCGUACUGUAGGAGCCAAGCAAGGCCCCUAGUUUCGGCCCCUGGCAUUCCGGACCGCGAACUUCUCCUCGGCGCUUCCGAUUAGCUUGUUGGCCGAGGUUGAUUGGGCCCACCAAGGCUUUCUAGUCGGUUAGCCGGCCUGAGAGGGCGGACGCCCACACUGGGACUUGAGACACGGCCCAGACUCCUUACGGGAGGCACCAGUGGGGAAUUUUUCCGCAAUGGGGGAAACCCUGACGGACGCAAACACCCGCGGUGGAGGAUGAAGGCCCUCGGGUCGUAAACUCCUUGAUCGAUCAGGGAAGAAUUCGCGUCCGGCCUAAUACGUCGGUUCGCGUUGACUGUACCGAGUGGAGGAAGCCACGGCUAAACUCUGUGCCAGCAGCCGCGGUAAGACAGAGGUGGCAAGCGUUGUUCGGAAUUACUGGGCGUAAAGGGCGCGCAGGCGGCUCGCGUCAAGUCCCGUCGUGAAAUCCCCCGGCUCAACUGGGGAACUGCGUCGGGAAACUGGCGAGACUUGAGUUCGGGAGAGGAAAGCGGAAUUCCGGGUGUAGCGGUGAAAUGCGCAGAUAUCCGGAGGAACACCAGUGGCGAAGGCGGCUUUCUGGACCGACAACUGACGCUGAGGCGCGAAAGCUAGGGGAGCGAACGGGAUUAGAUACCCCGGUAGUCCUAGCCCUAAACGUUGAGCACUGGGUUGUAGGGGGUUACUUGGGGGGGACACGGCUUCGAUUGCGUAAUUCACGAGGCGGACCCCUCAUGCCAGCGUUCCGACUUUGAGUUUCCUUAACUGCCCCCGGGCGUGUUCGCCACCUCGUACACCAAGUUAAGCUGCGUUGCGCUUCUUGGAAUGGCCCCAAAUUUGGCGUGCUCUAGCGAAGAUCUCUAUCUCAAAAGGAAGCCUGAGCACAUCUCCACGUACUGACCCAGCAUGCGAGC
rnacentral:rRNA from 1 species